GAUGAACGCUGGCGGCGUGCCUAAUACAUGCAAGUCGAGCGAACAGACGAGGAGCUUGCUCCUCUGACGUUAGCGGCGGACGGGUGAGUAACACGUGGAUAACCUACCUAUAAGACUGGGAUAACUUCGGGAAACCGGAGCUAAUACCGGAUAAUAUAUUGAACCGCAUGGUUCAAUAGUGAAAGACGGUUUUGCUGUUACUUAUAGAUGGAUCCGCGCCGCAUUAGCUAGUUGGUAAGGUAACGGCUUACCAAGGCGACGAUGCGUAGCCGACCUGAGAGGGUGAUCGGCCACACUGGAACUGAGACACGGUCCAGACUCCUACGGGAGGCAGCAGUAGGGAAUCUUCCGCAAUGGGCAAAAGCCUGACGGAGCAACGCCGCGUGAGUGAUGAAGGUCUUCGGAUCGUAAAACUCUGUUAUUAGGGAAGAACAAAUGUGUAAGUAACUAUGCACGUCUUGACGGUACCUAAUCAGAAAGCCACGGCUAACUACGUG
rnacentral:rRNA from 1 species